GUAGGUGAACCUGCGGAAGGAUCAUUAACAAAUCCUGAAAUUGUUUGUGUAUGGGGGGUUGUUGUAUUGAUUUCAUUUGAACAAGGGGAAUCAUUGUAUUCCUUCCUAUUCAUUUGAUAUCAUAUGGCAUUCCCCAUCAUAAAACAAUUACGCACGUUCCAUGUUACAAUUCAUUUUGUACAUGAUAACACAUUUCUACGAAUCAUCUGAUUGUCAUAUCAUUAAUUUAUUUAUAAAGACUUUUAACAAUGGAUCUCUAGGCUCUU
rnacentral:misc_RNA from 1 species